GACGAACGCUGGCGGCGUGCCUAAUACAUGCAAGUCGAGCGAAGCGGCGGAUUGGUGAGUAACGCGUGGGUAACCUGCCCUUAAGCUUGGGAUAACAUCUGGAAACAGAUGCUAAUUACGGAUAAUAAAGGAUGGAGCUGGGAGGCAGUAGCUAGUGGUUAAGGUAACGGCUUACCAAGGCGAUGAUGCAUAGCCGGGUUGAGAGACUGAUCGGCCACAUUGGGACUGAGACACGGCCCAAACUCCUACGGGAGGCAGCAGUAGGGAAUCUUCCACAAUGGACGAAAGUCUGAUGGAGCAACGCCGCGUGAGUGAAGAAGGUUUUCGGAUCGUAAAGCUCUGUUGUUGGUGAAGCGGUAAUCAACCAGAAAGUCACGGCUAACUACGUGCCAGCAGCCGCGGUAAUUC
rnacentral:rRNA from 1 species